rnacentral:lncRNA from 1 species
UUUAGCAUUGAUUCUGUCAGAAGGAAUGGAAACCUCAAGAUUCAGAUGAACCCAGAAUUAACUAGAAGAACUGAUGAACAGAAAUGCAUGCUUCACCCAAACAGUCCUCACUGCUGUAAUAUGAGAAAGAAAUAUGGAAUUUAGCUGGGCUUCCCUAAAGUUUCCUACAUGUUCCAUUUAAUCCUUUAAGUGUGAUGUGCGCUCUUCUGAUGAUGGAAUACUUGCUUCUGAAUUUAAUUUGACUAGAUGUCAUUUAUCCCUUUAAAAUUUCACAUUGAAUGUCUGUAUUUUUGAGAGGUGUAAGGCCAGGUUGUAAGUUUAAUUUUUUGUUACUUUUGCAAAAAUAAAAAUACGGUCAAUUGUGG